rnacentral:rRNA from 1 species
CCUACGGGUGGCUGCGGUGGGGAAUAUUGCACAAUGGGGGAAACCCUGAUGCAGCAACGCCGCGUGAGUGAAGACGUAUUUCGGUAUGUAAAGCUCUAUCAGCAGGGAAGAAAAUGACAGUACCUGACUAAGAAGCCCCGGCUAACUACGUGCCAGCAGCCGCGGUUAUACGUAGGGGGCAAGCGUUAUCCGGAUUUACUGGGUGUAAAGGGAGCGUAGACGGCUUAGCAAGUCAGAAGUGAAAGACCGGGGCUCAACCGCGGGAGUGCGUUUGACACUGUGUGGCUGGAGUGCAGGAGAGGUAAGUGGAAUUCCUAGUGUAGCGGUGAAAUGCGUAGAUAUUAGGAGGAACACCGGUGGCGAAGGCAGCUUACUGGACUGUAACUGACGUUGAGGCUCGAAAGCGUGGGGAGCAAACAGGAUUAGAUACCCUUGUAGUC